UAGCUUGCUACCUGACCUAGCGGCGGACGGGUGAGUAAUGCUUAGGAAUCUGCCUAUUAGUGGGGGACAACAUUCCGAAAGGAAUGCUAAUACCGCAUACGCCCUACGGGGGAAAGCAGGGGAUCUUCGGACCUUGCGCUAAUAGAUGAGCCUAAGUCAGAUUAGCUAGUUGGUGGGGUAAAGGCCUACCAAGGCGACGAUCUGUAGCGGGUCUGAGAGGAUGAUCCGCCACACUGGGACUGAGACACGGCCCAGACUCCUACGGGAGGCAGCAGUGGGGAAUAUUGGACAAUGGGCGAAAGCCUGAUCCAGCCAUGCCGCGUGUGUGAAGAAGGCCUUUUGGUUGUAAAGCACUUUAAGCGAGGAGGAGGCUACUGAGAUUAAUACUCUUGGAUAGUGGACGUUACUCGCAGAAUAAGCACCGGCUAACUCUGUGCCAGCAGCCGCGGUAAUACAGAGGGUGCGAGCGUUAAUCGGAUUUACUGGGCGUAAAGCGUGCGUAGGCGGCUUUUUAAGUCGGAUGUGAAAUCCCUGAGCUUAACUUAGGAAUUGCAUUCGAUACUGGGAAGCUAGAGUAUGGGAGAGGAUAGUAGAAUUCCAGGUGUAGCGGUGAAAUGCGUAGAGAUCUGGAGGAGUACCGAUGGCGAAGGCAGCCAUCUGGCCUAAUACUGACGCUGAGGUACGAAAGCAUGGGGAGCAAACAGGAUUAGAUACCCUGGUAGUCCAUGCCGUAAACGAUGUCUACUAGCCGUUGGGGCCUUUGAGGCUUUAGUGGCGCAGCUAACGCGAUAAGUAGACCGCCUGGGGAGUACGGUCGCAAGACUAAAACUCAAAUGAAUUGACGGGGGCCCGCACAAGCGGUGGAGCAUGUGGUUUAAUUCGAUGCAACGCGAAGAACCUUACCUGGUCUUGACAUAGUAAGAACUUUCCAGAGAUGGAUUGGUGCCUUCGGGAACUUACAUACAGGUGCUGCAUGGCUGUCGUCAGCUCGUGUCGUGAGAUGUUGGGUUAAGUCCCGCAACGAGCGCAACCCUUUUCCUUAUUUGCCAGCGGGUUAAGCCGGGAACUUUAAGGAUACUGCCAGUGACAAACUGGAGGAAGGCGGGGACGACGUCAAGCCAUCAUGGCCCUUACGACCAGGGCUACACACGUGCUACAAUGGUCGGUACAAAGGGUUGCUACCUAGCGAUAGGAUGCUAAUCUCAAAAAGCCGAUCGUAGUCCGGAUUGGAGUCUGCAACUCGACUCCAUGAAGUCG
rnacentral:rRNA from 1 species